GACGAACGCUGGCGGCGUGCUUAACACAUGCAAGUCGAACGGAAAGGCCCUGCUUUUGUGGGGUGCUCGAGUGGCGAACGGGUGAGUAACACGUGAGUAACCUGCCCUUGACUUUGGGAUAACUUCAGGAAACUGGGGCUAAUACCGGAUAGGAGCUCCUGCUGCAUGGUGGGGUUGGAAAGUUUCGGCGGUUGGGGAUGGACUCGCGGCUUAUCAGCUUGUUGGUGGGGUAGUGGCUUACCAAGGCUUUGACGGGUAGCCGGCCUGAGAGGGUGACCGGCCACAUUGGGACUGAGAUACGGCCCAGACUCCUACGGGAGGCAGCAGUGGGGAAUAUUGCGCAAUGGGCGGAAGCCUGAUGCAGCAACGCCGCGUGCGGGAUGACGGCCUUCGGGUUGUAAACCGCUUUCGCCUGUGACGAAGCGUGAGUGACGGUAAUGGGUAAAGAAGCACCGGCUAACUACGUG
rnacentral:rRNA from 1 species